AAAAAAUGCACAAAACUCAAGUUUUGUUCGAAAUUAUAUAAAUAGCCACGUGUAGAGUUCCAGUUAGUCAAUCUUAUACUCAAAACCGUUGUGCCCCGUCUCCAUUACCCGCCUUCUGUAUUUGAAACUUUGUGACUUUUGAAAAAAGAAAAACCACACUCUUCUUCGUCUUGUCAAUAGAGUCUAGACUCUAGACCAUACAACAAAGCUGGGAGCUUCAAUUCCAAUUUAAAACAAAGCCCUCUCUGUCUUUCGGAACUCACUCCCGAAUAAAUCUUGGUGGUUUACUACCAGCAUUAAUCCUGUUAGCUGGAAGCUCGGUGUGAAUUUCAAUUCUGAUUCUUUAUUUCUUCUUCUUCAUGAUAUUAAGUAUCCGAAAGUGCCUUCCAAGCAACUUCUUCAACUUAAAUGCUUUUACCUAUGCUUCCUCAAAAACCUAUUGGUGUGCUUUUUCUUCGUUGGAAGUUUCCCAUUUUGAAAGAGCUAGCAUUGUUCAUCAAGAAGAGAAAUUCCUGGGCCCAAAAAACAAGUCUAAUUUUGACAUUCUUGCGACCAGAAGUUUAUGUUGGAAACAGUGACGAUGAAGUUUUUCAAUUUCUCAUGCAUGACCAAUUGUGUAAUGCUAUACCGCCUUCUCAUGAUCUUAUUGAAAAGAUGCUGCACUGCUUUAAGGAUGAUUGGAAAUCUGCAUUGGGUAUUUUUAGAUGGGCGGAAUCAAGCGCUGACUACAAACAUACGCCACAGGCAUAUGAUACAAUGGUUGACAUGUUGGGGAAGGCAAAACUGGUGGACCGGGUGAAGGCACUGUUAAAGGAAAUAUGUCGACACACUUACCAUGUCUGGCUAAUUUGAACUUCACUUCCUUUUGUUGCAGGAUCAGAGAUAAAUAUCACCAGUGAGGCCAUCUGAGAUGGUGGUAUGCAAACUAGUUUCGGAAUUGGAGGUUUUUUAGCUUAUUUAGCGGAAGAUGAGCUAUGAUAUUUUGGGGGAAAAGACUCUCCUUACUAGUUUCACUGUCAUAGUUGGCAGCAAUAUUCUUGAUGAUAUGCUUGUAAAUGUCUCUUUCCAAUAUCCUAUGUAAUUUUCAUUGAUCUGCACUGAAUGGACUGAGGAAAAACAUGAAUCAAUUUCUCGAUGGACAACUGCUCAAGGUUCCCUCCUAUCUUCUUGAAUUUCCAGCAAGGCAGCAACAAACAUUCGUCCGAUGGGAUGUGCUUAGGACAAUGUCGAACAGCUAUAUCUCAAGAGAAUGUACGGUUGCAGCUGAUGAGGAGUCAAGUGAAAGAUGAGCCUAACUUGAUCAACCACCCCUUUGAUGGGGUGGUCCUGUCAAUGAUCAGAGCCAUCAAAAAGUAAAGCAGAAAGGAGUGGCUGGUGAAGAAUCAUUUAUUUCUAAAACUUGAAAACAUUUUGUUUAAUGUUAUUUUUGUUGUGCAAGUUUGAUUAGAUCCUAUGACUCUGCUAAUUCUCCUGCACCUUCCUCCUUGGCAUUCAUUAUUCACCAAGUAAAUCUGAAUGACAAACUCGAUUGAUUAUGUUUUCUAGUGUUAUUUUUUGUCGGUGAUGAACCAAGGAACAUGAUAUCCUUAUGCCAUUUAAGUUGUAGCACAUGACAUUCAUUUCCUUGUCUUAUGCUUUGCAUUGGAUUCCAUUGAUUGCCAUGCAUUUUACAUACUCCUAUGCAGUAUGCACUUGCUUCUC